rnacentral:lncRNA from 1 species
CGCCGCGGAAGGAUCGCACGCACGCGCGCGCGCACGCCCAGCCGUGUCCGCGGAAAACGGAGGGCGCUGCGGUAAGGAGCAGCCGCCACAGGCACAGCCGCUUCGCAGCCUCCCGCCGCUGGUUUGUCAGCCCCGCGGCUGCGGGCGGCCGGGCGGCCGAGCGCGCUCUGAGCCAAUAGAAAUAGAUAUGAUUGUAGGAAAAGACCGGGAAGGUUUCUUUACCAACGGUUUGACUCUUGGCGCGAAGAAAUGCUCAGUGAUCAGAGAUAGUCUAUACGUCGAUGGUGACUGCACAAUGGACAUCCGGACAAAGAGUCAAGGUGGGGAGCCAACAUACAAUGUGGCUGUCGGCAGAGCUGGUAGAGUCUUGGUCUUUGUAAUGGGAAAAGAAGGGGUCCAUGGAGGCGGAUUGAAUAAGAAGGCAUACUCAAUGGCAAAAUACUUGAGAGACUCUGGGUUCUAGCUGCUAGGCAGACUGUUAAGUAUUAGGGGAAAAUUGCUCUUAAACUUUCCUAGCUAUAAGCUUAAGUCUUAAUUCUGGAAAUUUUAUUAGCAAUGCAGGGUGAUGGGGUAUGAACCUGUGUCUCCUUUGUAUCCCUCUGUUGGUGGGGAAAGGUGUCUUUCUUUCUGCCCUCC